rnacentral:rRNA from 1 species
ACUGAACGCUGGCGGCAGGCCUAACACAUGCAAGUCGAGCGAGCGGCGGACGGGUGAGUAAUGUAUGGGGACUGCCCGAUAGAGGGGGAUAACUACUGGAAACGGUAGCUAACACCGCAUACCAUCGGAUAACCCCUAUUGGAGUAGCUAGUAGGUGAGGCAAUGGCUCACCUAGGCGACGAUCCCUAGCUGGUCUGAGAGGAUGAUCAGGGACACUGAAACUGAGUAUAGGCCCAAAAUAGUACGGAGGCGACAAGGGAGAAUAUGGAGGAGUGGGCGCAGGCCUGAUGCAGGCAUGGCGCGUGUAUGAAGAAGGCAAUAAGUUUGUAAAAUACUUUCGAUCGGGAGGCGUUACCGUCAGAAGAGGCACCGGGUGACGCCGUGCCAGCAGCCGCGGUAAUAC